GCUCAGGAUGAACGCUGGCGGCGUGCUUAACACAUGCAAGUCGAACGGAACUCUUUUGAUUGAGGCUUCGGCCAAAUGAUUCUGAGUUUAGUGGCGGACGGGUGAGUAACGCGUGAGUAACCUGCCUUGGAGUGGGGAAUAACGGCUGGAAACGGUCGCUAAUACCGCAUAAAGCAUUGAGAUCGCAUGGUUUUAAUGCCAAAGAUUUAUCGCUCUGAGAUGGACUCGCGUCUGAUUAGCUAGUUGGUGAGGUAACGGCUCACCAAGGCGACGAUCAGUAGCCGGACUGAGAGGUUGACCGGCCACAUUGGGACUGAGACACGGCCCAGACUCCUACGGGAGGCAGCAGUGGGGAAUAUUGGGCAAUGGGCGCAAGCCUGACCCAGCAACGCCGCGUGAAGGAAGAAGGCUUUCGGGUUGUAAACUUCUUUUAUCAGGGACGAUAAUGACGGUACCUGAUGAAUAAGCUCCGGCUAACUACGUGCCAGCAGCCGCGGUAAUACGUAGGGAGCAAGCGUUAUCCGGAUUUACUGGGUGUAAAGGGCGUGUAGGCGGGACUGCAAGUCAGAUGUGAAAACUAUGGGCUUAACCCAUAGCCUGCAUUUGAAACUGUAGUUCUUGAGUGGUGGAGAGGCAAAUGGAAUUCCUAGUGUAGGGGUGAAAUGCGUAGAUAUUAGGAAGAACACCAGUGGCGAAGGCGAUUUGCUGGACACUAACUGACGCUGAGGCGCGAAAGCGUGGGGAGCAAACAGGAUUAGAUACCCUGGUAGUCCACGCCGUAAACGAUGGAUACUAGGUGUGGGGGGUCUGACCCCCUCCGUGCCGCAGUUAACACAAUAAGUAUCCCACCUGGGGAGUACGAUCGCAAGGUUGAAACUCAAAGGAAUUGACGGGGGCCCGCACAAGCGGUGGAGUAUGUGGUUUAAUUCGAAGCAACGCGAAGAACCUUACCAGGUCUUGACAUCCCGAUGACCGGUGUAGAGAUACACCUUCUCUUCGGAGCAUCGGCGACAGGUGGUGCAUGGUUGUCGUCAGCUCGUGUCGUGAGAUGUUGGGUUAAGUCCCGCAACGAGCGCAACCCUUGUUGCUAGUUGCUACGCAAGAGCACUCUAGCGAUACUGCCGUUGACAAAACGGAGGAAGGUGGGGACGACGUCAAAUCAUCAUGCCCCUUAUGACCUGGGCCACACACGUACUACAAUGGCGGUUAACAGAGGGAAGCAAUACCGCGAGGUGGAGCAAAUCCCUAAAAGCCGUCCCAGUUCGGAUUGCAGGCUGCAACCCGCCUGCAUGAAGUCGGAAUCGCUAGUAAUCGCGGAUCAGCAUGCCGCGGUGAAUACGUUCCCGGGCCUUGUACACACCGCCCGUCACACCAUGAGAGUCGGGACACCCGAAGUCCGUAGCCUAACCGCAAGGGGGGCGCGGCCGAAGGUGGGUUCGAUAAUUGGGGUGAAGUCGUAACAAGGUAGCCGUACGAGAACGUGCGGCUG
rnacentral:rRNA from 1 species